UGUGGGCGCAGGAAUUUUGAGUGGACCUGACACUAGUACGAGAGGACCGUGUUGGACUAACCUCUCGCGUACCGGCUGUUCCGCCAGGAGCAUCGCCGGGUAACCAAGUUGGGAACAGAUAAGCGCUGAAAGCAUCUAAGUGCGAAGCUGGCCACAAGAUAAGAAUUCCAUAUUAGGGUAGUCAUAGACGAUGACAUAGAUAGGCUACAGGUGUACGCAUGGUGACGUGUUCAGCCGAGUAGUACUAAUCACCCGAACACUUCUUUUU
rnacentral:rRNA from 1 species